rnacentral:lncRNA from 7 species
AUGAUCGGACACGAGCGUUUUGUUCGCUCUCUUGUCCUCUAUAUUUAUAUGGCUUUCUAACUAAACAAAGAACGAAAUGACUUCGUUCUAUUGUAUCUUUAAACUAAACAAAAAAUUAGAAUGACUUCGUUUUACCUAACAAAUACGGAGGAGAAUGGUUUUAUUCUCGUAAUCUCCCGACCAAACUACAAAAACCCAAACAGGACACGCACCUUCCGUGAACUUCUCGUGUCGCAGAUUCGUGAAGCAGUAGUAAACCACAUCCACAUGACUGACGCGGGGGUUGCAUGAUUCUAUCAGGCAGAUAAAAAAGGCAGCAUCACACUUCACACGCCUUGUUUUCUCGAAGGGAAUGGCUAGAAUAUGACGGACACAUUCAUCUCUUUUCCCUGCCAGCCGUUCGUUUUUUUAUUGGCCAGGUCGAGUUUUUAGAUGCAAUUUUGCCGAUGUCGACAGGUUUUAGCUCCACGAAGCGAGAAUCGUUUCCGUGCCUACACAUUCUAUUCUG